rnacentral:rRNA from 1 species
UACGUAGUCAGCAAGCGUUGUUCGGAAUUACUGGGCGUAAAGAGUGUGUAGGCGGUGCUCUAAGUCUGUUGUGAAAUCUCCCGGCUUAACCGGGAGGGUGCGGCGGAAACUGGAGUGCUUGAGGGUGGGAGAGGUAAGCGGAAUUCCUGGUGUAGCGGUGAAAUGCGUAGAUAUCUGGAGGAACACCGGUGGCGAAGGCGGCCUGCUGGGCAGUUGCUGACACUGAGGCGCGAAAGCGUGGGGAGCAAACAGG